CCUAACAGUCCAAACUGAGAGAGCAGCUGGAAUGGCAGCUCGGUCAGGAUCGAGGGGAUGAGCGAGAGGGCCUGCGCCUCCGAGCCACUCGGGAGCUGCACCGGCACGCGGAUGGAGAUUCCGGGAGCCACGGGCUGGGAGGCCAGAGCUGUUUCAAUCUAGAGAUGGAGGAGGACCACCUCUACGCUCUGAGGUGGAAAGAGCUGGAGAUGCACAGCCUGGCCCUGCAGAACACCCUUCACAAGCGAACUUGGAGUGACGAGAAGAAUAUGCUGCAGCAGGAGCUCCGGUCCCUGAAGCAGAACAUUUUCCUCUUCUACGUCAAGCUCAGGUGGCUGCUGAAACACUGGCGCCAAGGGAAGCAGAUGGAGGAGGGAGGAGAGGAUUUCGCGGAG
rnacentral:lncRNA from 1 species